AACAUAAGAGUCUUCUAUUGCCAGGAUGGCCAAGGGACCAGCACUUAAGAAACAUUAUGAAGGCGGCAAGAAUCAAUUUAAGAAAAGAGAUGGGCUCAAGAAGGAAGAUAAAUGCUGUGAGCAUUGCAAGACCACUGGACACUUCAAGGAGAGCUGCUUUAAAAUCAUUGGGUACCCAGAAUGGUUCAAACAAAGAAAGGCCCAAACCAUCUGCUAAUCUUGCUGAUAGUACUUCUCUAGAAGAAACAACAAAUGAACCUGCAGGGCACAUCAAACAACCUGAUGAAUGGAACAAUGAAGCCCCUUACCAACUUAAUUCAACAAGAGGUUAUGAAAGCAUUGAAAGGUAAAAUGAUUCACGAAGCUGGCUGUGUGGAUUUCCCUAGGUUCACUGGUAAUAAUUCCAAUACUUCUGCAUCAUAUAAAUAUGGUAAUUAGAUUAUUGACAGUGGUGUAACCACUGAUAUGUGUUGUGAUUGAAAAUUAUUCACCAAUUUCACACAACAAAAGACCUCCAGCCAUGUUCACCUACCUGGUGGAACCACAAAAGUAAUCACACACAUG
rnacentral:misc_RNA from 1 species